ensembl:lncRNA novel transcript
GGAGAGUGAAGCCCCGCCUGGCCCCCCUUCCACACUGGAAGCCUCUCUGUGGCUGAUGGGAGGACCAGGGCUGAUGAAAGGAUGGAGCCAUGAAGGGCAGCCCUCCUGCUGCGGGUCGCCCUGCUGCUGCCCUGGGCCUGCAGCUCCUGGCACGUGGGUCUCUGGGACUCCUUGUGGAUGUGCCUCUCCAGGGCCCUCCAUCCUCGGUGGGCAGGAGACUCCCCUAGGGAGCUUGCUCUCAAGUAAAUUCAUGGCCAUCGGACGAUAUUAAUUAGACAUACACGGCAUCAGGACCUUCACAGCCACCACAGUUCUCAAUAGCAUACACACGGCUGCCACAAAUACACAGAAGUUUUGGGAAUUAGCUCUGUGAGACAGGCCUAUUUCAGAUAAGAAAAAUGAGGAUCAGAGAAGCUGAAAGUCUUGCGGAGGACACCCCAGCAAGGCGAAUUACAGGCCCAGAAUUCUAACGAGGGCAUCCGGACUCUGGGAUUACAACCGCCUUCUGCGUCCCAGGAAAAACCUCCUCUAGUCAUGCCCAGAUCUGCCUGGUCUAAAAACCACAAAAAUCGCAGGACUUUCCACUGAGUCAAUGCUUGUCACGUCUAGAGACCUGGAUCGAGCUGUUUCCUUCCAUUCACAGAGCCGUCCUGCAGGAGAGAUGUUACUUUUACCAUCAAUGUAAAAACUGAGCCUUAAACUGCUUCAGAAACUGUUUAGAUUCAUUCAACUGAAUAUUCACACUGGAGUUUGAAUCAAGGCCUACGUGGCUUUAGAAAUUUAAGAUCCAAACCGUACCACUGUGGUACCUGACAUCCUUCAUGCACCUCCCUCAUCUUCAGAGAAACAAUUCUAAUUCUUCACUUUAAAGCAAGGUAGGGUGACUUUCCAAUGACUUCAGGGCAUUCGGUAAAGAACAGCUUGGUUCAAAGUAAGUUGAUGAGCACAGCAAUUUCUUCAUAAUGGCAACCUGGUUAAAAAAAAAUAAAAUAAACCCAUACCUGGCUUUGGGAAGGAAGUUGUUUGUUUUAAUGUUUUGUAUUUGGACUUGCAUCACAUAGAGUGGUGAUUUUUUUCAACAUUUUGUGUGUCACUUAACAUUUUUAAAAAUAAAGUCUUACAAGCUGUGAAACAAUGUGAACAUCCUGAUCCUAUCUCUGUAAAAUAUGAUGGGUGCACAUUGAUAGACGAGGGUGUGGAAAGUUACAUCUGAAGGUGGCAACAGGAGUUGCCUCUGCAUGUGUGGAAUUAGAAGGAUUGUUGAUUUCAUUUAUUUAUCUGAAUAUACGAUAGAGAAAGUUCAAGUAGCACAGAUGGCUGCACAAUGAAGAGGAAUUUCACCUCUUACACUCAUUCUCAGUCCACUCGCCAAAGGCAAUUACAUGGAUAUGUAUUCUUCCUGAAAUAUUCUUUUCAUACACAAUCGUGUAUAAAAUCGUGUAUGAAAAAAAGUCUGCUCAUCAUGUAGUGUGUGUUUAUAUAUAAAUGUACUUAUU